ACGCUCGACACCUACGUGAGGCAGCAGUCGGGAAUAUUGCGCAAUGGAGGAAACUCUGACGCAGUGACGCCGCGUAUAGGAAGAAGGUUUUCGGAUUGUAAACUAUUGUCGUUAGGGAAGAGAAAGGACAGUACCUAAGGAGGAAGCUCCGGCUAACUACGUGCCAGCACGCCGGAGUAUNGAGGCGGNGNGAGAG
rnacentral:rRNA from 1 species